CUCAUUACAAUUACAGGGCCUGGAAAGAGUCCUGUAUUAUUAUUUGUCAUCACUACCUCCCCGCGUCGGGAGUGGGUAAUUUGCGCACCUGCUGCCUUUCUUGGAUGUGGUAGCCGUUUCUCAGGCUCCCUCUCCGUAAUCGAACCCUGAUUCCAUGUUACCCGUGGUCACCAUGGUAGGCGCAGAAAGUACCAUAGAAAAUUUAUAGGGCAGACAUCCGAAUGCGUCGUCGCCGUCA
rnacentral:lncRNA from 1 species